rnacentral:rRNA from 1 species
UACGUGGGGGGCAAGCGUUGUCCGGAUUUACUGGGCGUAAAGAGCGUGUAGGCGGCCAUACAGGUCCGUUGUGAAAACUGGAGGCUCAACUUCCAGACGUCGACGGAAACCGUGUGGCUAGAGUCCGGAAGAGGAGAGUGGAAUUCCUGGUGUAGCGGUGAAAUGCGCAGAUAUCAGGAAGAACACCAAUGGCGAAGGCAGCUCUCUGGGACGGUACUGACGCUGAGACGCGAAAGCGUGGGGAGCGAACAGG